rnacentral:lncRNA from 1 species
AUCUCGUGGCACUACCUUCAAGCAUUUGCGGAUUGACCUCUCUUAGCUGCUUAAGCAUAACAAAUUGUCCACGCCUCGGUGAAUUGCCCAAGAACCUCGGUAAGCUACAAGCUCUCGAAAUCUUAAGGCUAUAUGCUUGCCCUGAGCUAAAGACAUUAACUGGAGAAAUCUGUGAGCUUCUUCGGCUUAAGUACCUCGAUAUCUCACAAUGCGUUAGCCUGAGUUGUCUUCCAGAGGAAAUAGGAAAGCUAAAGAAGCUUGAGAAGAUUGACAUGAGAGAAUGUUGUUUUUCGGGUAGACCGAGCUCCGCUGUUUCAUUGAAGUCUCUACGCCAUGUAAUAUGUGAUACAGACGUUGCAUUUAUGUGGGAAGAAGUUGAGAAGGCUGUUCCAGGAUUAAAGAUAGAAGCUGCUGAGAAAUGCUUCAGCCUAGAUUGGCUUGACGAGUAGAUCCUAAACCCAAAAAGUUGUUUGUAUAAAAAGUGUAAACUCAUUGUUUAGAGUCUGUUAAGUUAAAAAAAAGCUUGUAUAGAACUCUUUCUACUCUGUUUUCUCAUUUCUAAGUUCAAUAAAGGAUAAACCUUUCACAACAAACUUCUACUCUCUCAUUUCUGUCAAUCGUAACAAUCUACAUGAAAGCUUGAAAACCAAUUUUCUUAACAAUUAAUCAAUCCGGAAAUUGAAAAGAUUUGUGUAACAAAGCAGAUUCUGUUCCAAAUUCCUCGACAAAGAUGCCAAAAUAAAGAAUAUAAGAAAAGAGAUUUCUUUGUAAUUCUGUAUUGUAACAUAAUAAAUUAGGCUUUGUAAAGUGAGACUAAUCAUCCCGUUGGCCUCAACAUGUUUUGAUCAAAUCGAAGCUUUUUUAAACUGCUCGGUCUUUUCCUUUUGCCUCGUGCAGGUUUCUUCUUAAUUCGGACCAAACUUGGAACAUCUCACAGUUUUUGACAGGUUCUCCUAGAUCCAAUCCUCUAAAAUAUCCUGCCUCUCCAAUAACGUUAAAUCCUCUAAAGGAACCCUUGAAAGAAUCUCCUCUAUCAAAUCCGUUGGAAGAUCUGAAAUUUGUUUCCAAAGUAGAAAGUGAAAAUAUAAAACCCCAACAUAAUCAUAAUGGUGCAACCAAAAUAUCCAGCGGCAAAAGCUAACAAGACUGAAAGUUGACUGCUUGUCCCAUACAAGUUUCAAGGUCGCUGAAUUAGGGAUUAGGGUUUCUCUUGUUGCUUUCCCACCAAGGCAGGUUUCUCAUUUCUCAGUGAUACUUGUGAGCCCAAUGCAAAUCAUCUUGUUAAAACAUUCUUCUUAGGCUUAAUCGUCAAAAUUACCGACAUUGAGAGCACAACAGGCCUCGAGGCCCACUAGUAUAAAGAGGCCCAACUGGUUCCGUUAAUCUUCGGAUAAAUUUGAUCGAAGCAAAGACAGAUACCCUACCUAGUUCCUCCCAAUUCGAUGUUGCGAAACGCGGUGAAAUUGUUGCAUAGGGGGAAUCCCGUGAGUGAGAAAGGUCUGUCUUUUUUUUUGUUUUGUUUCUGAUGCAUAUAUUAGUGUGAUCCUUGUGAUUUGAUCCUUGACGAUUGCGGUUUUCUAUCAUCUGGCGAUUGGUGGUUUUGGAUUCGGGGCAGGUAUGUGAAUACUUUCUUGUCAACAGCCCUUUCUCUGUCUUAAUUUUUUAGCAGUAGUUGAGAGAUGUUUAAGACAAAAAAAAUGAUUGCUUUCGCUGCUCAGGUGCUCUGUCAACAAAUCACUUGGAUCAGAAACUUGGAUUCGGGGCAGGUAUCAUAGUAUAUCGCAGUGACUUGGAUCCGGACAACCAUUCCACCUGUUUCUUCUUCUUCUUGUUCCAGGAAGUCGUGAGACUGAGAGAAGAGCUGGAUGAGGCUAUUCUGCCGAGGUUGCCCGAGGAGCUACGAAGGAUCGAAAAAUAAUGAAAAUUUUCAAUUUUGUGUGUGUAAUUCGGUGAUAUGUUUUGCACGCAUUACCUCUUUGGUGUCAAUCUGUUUUUCUUAACCUGCUUGGAUACUGUUGUUGUAAUUUGCUUGGUCUUCUUACUUAGUGUUGAACCAACUUUCUGCAUUAUUAUUUCUUCCUCUCCCUUACGCGACUCUGUUGUGCUUACUUCUUAAUAUGCCCUUUGCUCUUCAUGACAAGCUUAGUCCUAUUUAUACCUUCCCAUAUUCAAGCUUAUGCAUACAUGUUCAAAAAGCAAGACAUAGCAUCCUGUGUUAUCGUGCUCCAUCUUAAUGAUCUUCUUCUGCUGCAAAUCCAGCUAUGGUUAACCAGUAAUUUAAUUUAACCACAACAUGUCUUUGAUUCUGUGCAAGAUCAAUAAAAGUUUUGAUCAAACCGGAGUUGACGUGGCCGAUAUCUUCUCAAAAUUGGGGGAUCUGACGAUAGAUCACUGUGAUGAUCUCGUGCAUUUGCGGAUUGACCUCUCUUAGCUGCUUAAGCAUAAAAAAUUGUCCACGCCUCGGUGAAUUGCCCAAGAACCUCAGUACAAGCUCUCGAAAUCUUAAGGCUGUAUGCUUGCCCUGAGCUAAAGACAUUAAGUGGAGAAAUCUGUGAGCUUCCUGGGCUUAAGUACCUAGACAUCUCACAAUGUGUUAGCCUGAGUUGUCUUCCAGAGGAAAUAGGAAAGCUAAAGAAGCUUGAGAAGAUCGACAUGAGAGAAUGUUGUUUCGGGUAGACCGAGCUCUGCUAAUUCACUGAAAUCUCUGCGCCAUGUAAUAUGCGAUACCGACGUUGCAUUUAUGUGGGACGAAGUUAAGAAGGUCGUUCCAGGACUAAAGAUUGAAGCUGCUGAGAAAUGCUUCAGCCUAGAUUGGCUUGACGAGUAGAUCCCAAACCCAUAAAAGUUGUUGUAUAAAGUGUAAACUCAUUGUUUAGAGUCUGGUAAGUAAAUCAGCUUGUAUAGAACUCUUUGUACUCUGUUUUCUCAUUUCUAAA